rnacentral:rRNA from 1 species
UACGUAGGGUGCGAGCGUUGUCCGGAAUUAUUGGGCGUAAAGAGCUCGUAGGCGGUGUGUCACGUCGGCCGUGAAAACCUGCAGCUUAACUGUGGGCGUGCGGUCGAUACGGGCAUCACUGGAGUUCGGCAGGGGAGAACGGAAUUCCCGGUGUAGCGGUGAAAUGCGCAGAUAUCGGGAGGAACGACCGGUGGCGAAGGCGGUUCUCUGGGCCUGUGCUGACGCUGAGGAGCGAAAGCGUGGGGAGCGAACAGG